GAUGAACGCUGGCGGCGUGCCUAAUACAUGCAAGUCGAGCGAAGCGGGGACGGGUGAGCAAUACGUGUCUAACCUCCUAUAAGGCUGGGAUAACUUCGGGAAAACGAAGCUAAACCGGUUACUUAUAGAUGGUUCCUCGCUGCAUUAGCUAGUUGGUACGGUAACGGCUUACCAAGGCAACGAUGCCUAGCCGACCUGAGAGGGUGAUCAGCCACACUGGAACUGAGACACGGUCCAGACUCCUACGAGAGGCAGCAGUGGGGAAUCUUCCGCAAUGGGCGAAAGCCUGACGCAGCAACGCCGCGUGUGUGAUGAAGGUCUUCGGAUCGUAAAACACUGUUAGUAGGGAGGCGUUACCUAAAGAGAAAGCAACGGCUAACUUCGUGCCAGCAGCCGCGGUAAUUC
rnacentral:rRNA from 1 species